rnacentral:rRNA from 1 species
AUGGAACGAACUGUUGAACAAGCUGAAGAAUUAUUGAAUAACAUAUUGAAAAAUUAUGAUGAUUGGACUCUUCCCGAACCGCCGCUUAAACCUACUCCGAAGAAGAGAGGUAUCUUAUAUCUCAGUCUCGAAGAUAUGCAGGAGGCAAAGAAAUCUAUGAAGGAAAAAGAUAUUAAAGCUGAGGAUGUCAAAAUUUUGCCUCCUAUUGAAGAAAUACAUGGGCUUGAAACACCACCACCACCUAAGGUGGUAGAGGUAAACUCUUCAAUGAAAUUCAAUGACAAUGACAAUCCUUAUAAUAUGCAUCCUAGUCAAUGCCUUUAUGAGUUUGAUAAUUACAUAAGAAAGCAAGAUCACUUCAAUGCAAAUGUUAUGAAAUAA